rnacentral:tRNA from 1 species
AGCCCUGUAGUGAUUAACACAUUAAAUUGCAAAUUUAAAAAGGUUCCUUUAUUGGCUCCGGGGCUU